rnacentral:lncRNA from 1 species
CUGAGAUUCUCCAUAUUUCAGGCUUCUCUCAGCUGGGUGGCAUGCUCUACAGCAACAGCACUGCAGCCCUGCACUCUUAAUGAUCCCCUCAGAGGCAUCUGCAGGAUGCAUUUGCAUGAGCAAUGAGAGACAUAGAUUUUCAUCUGGAAAAUGGAGAUGGUUGUACAUUGGGACCCAGGACUGAGGGCUCAUCUGGAAAACUCAUGGAGUAGCU